rnacentral:tRNA from 1 species
AAUUUAGUAGCUCAAUUGGUAGAGCAGUUGGCUGUUAACCAAAAGGUUACUGGUUCAAGUCCAGUCUAGGUCG